rnacentral:rRNA from 1 species
ACGUAGGGGACGAGCGUUGUCCGGAUUCAUUGGGCGUAAAGCGCGCGUAGGCGGUUGCGCAAGUCGGUUGUGAAAAUCCGGGGCUCAACCCCGGACCUGCAUCCGAUACUGCGUGACUAGAGGUAGGUAGGGGAGAUCGGAAUUCCUGGUGUAGCGGUGAAAUGCGCAGAUAUCAGGAGGAACACCGGUGGCGAAGGCGGAUCUCUGGGCCUUACCUGACGCUCAGGCGCGAAAGCCAGGGGAGCAAACGGGA